UUACGGUCACAUCACGUUGAAUCACCAGUUCUCGUGCGAUCAGCGAAGUUAAGCAACCUUGAGCCUGGAUACUACCUAGAUGGGUGACCGCUUGGGAAUACCAGGUGCAGUAAG